GAUUAAGUUAUUAAGGGCGCACGGUGGAUGCCUUGGCACUAGAAGCCGAUGAAGGACGUUACUAACGACGAUAUGCUUUGGGGAGCUGUAAGUAAGCUUUGAUCCAGAGAUUUCCGAAUGGGGAAACCCAGCAUGAGUUAUGUCAUGUUAUCGAUAUGUGAAUACAUAGCAUAUCAGAAGGCACACCCGGAGAACUGAAACAUCUUAGUACCCGGAGGAAGAGAAAGAAAAUUCGAUUCCCUUAGUAGCGGCGAGCGAAACGGGAAGAGCCCAAACCAACAAGCUUGCUUGUUGGGGUUGUAGGACACUCUAUACGGAGUUACAAAGGACGACAUUAGACGAAUCAUCUGGAAAGAUGAAUCAAAGAAGGUAAUAAUCCUGUAGUCGAAAAUGUUGUCUCUCUUGAGUGGAUCCUGAGUACGACGGAGCACGUGAAAUUCCGUCGGAAUCUGGGAGGACCAUCUCCUAAGGCUAAAUACUCUCUAGUGACCGAUAGUGAACCAGUACCGUGAGGGAAAGGUGAAAAGCACCCCGGAAGGGGAGUGAAAUAGAACCUGAAACCGUGUGCUUACAAGUAGUCAGAGCCCGUUAAUGGGUGAUGGCGUGCCUUUUGUAGAAUGAACCGGCGAGUUACGAUUUGAUGCAAGGUUAAGCAGUAAAUGUGGAGCCGUAGCGAAAGCGAGUCUGAAUAGGGCGUUUAGUAUUUGGUCGUAGACCCGAAACCAGGUGAUCUACCCUUGGUCAGGUUGAAGUUCAGGUAACACUGAAUGGAGGACCGAACCGACUUACGUUGAAAAGUGAGCGGAUGAACUGAGGGUAGCGGAGAAAUUCCAAUCGAACCUGGAGAUAGCUGGUUCUCUCCGAAAUAGCUUUAGGGCUAGCCUCAAGUGAUGAUUAUUGGAGGUAGAGCACUGUUUGGACGAGGGGCCCCUCUCGGGUUACCGAAUUCAGACAAACUCCGAAUGCCAAUUAAUUUAACUUGGGAGUCAGAACAUGGGUGAUAAGGUCCGUGUUCGAAAGGGAAACAGCCCAGACCACCAGCUAAGGUCCCAAAAUAUAUGUUAAGUGGAAAAGGAUGUGGCGUUGCCCAGACAACUAGGAUGUUGGCUUAGAAGCAGCCAUCAUUUAAAGAGUGCGUAAUAGCUCACUAGUCGAGUGACACUGCGCCGAAAAUGUACCGGGGCUAAACAUAUUACCGAAGCUGUGGAUUGUCCUUUGGACAAUGGUAGGAGAGCGUUCUAAGGGCGUUGAAGCAUGAUCGCAAGGACAUGUGGAGCGCUUAGAAGUGAGAAUGCCGGUGUGAGUAGCGAAAGACGGGUGAGAAUCCCGUCCACCGAUUGACUAAGGUUUCCAGAGGAAGGCUCGUCCGCUCUGGGUUAGUCGGGUCCUAAGCUGAGGCCGACAGGCGUAGGCGAUGGAUAACAGGUUGAUAUUCCUGUACCACCUAUAAUCGUUUUAAUCGAUGGGGGGACGCAGUAGGAUAGGCGAAGCGUGCGAUUGGAUUGCACGUCUAAGCAGUAAGGCUGAGUAUUAGGCAAAUCCGGUACUCGUUAAGGCUGAGCUGUGAUGGGGAGAAGACAUUGUGUCUUCG
rnacentral:rRNA from 1 species